GCAGUGGUGGAAGGGAGUGAACUCUUCGCACACUGGACCCGCUUAGAAUCUCACGAAAGGUUGUGACUGAGAACUUGUGAGGCUUCCGUUCAGAAUUUGAGUCUCGUCACAAGGCAUGGGACAUAUUGUACCCAACAGUCGCAAGGCUCAUUCUCAGGUGGACCAAGCAUUCUACACAAGCAAAACCUUGAAAGGCAGAGCUAGUUCUGAUAAUGCUAAUUACUGUAUUCUGCCUAAUAAAACAAGAAGUGGUAUUUCGUUGCUUGCUUCAGGCGAAGAAUAGAUUGAAGUGUAAGCACAUCUAGAAACGUCAGAAUUCCACUGGGAAGAAGACCUGUGAGGUUACCCCGCGCACAGAAGCGUAUUGAGCGAUCCCCGUUUUCGACAUUUGUGCACUCAAUAAGCUCAUUGUUGUCAUCGUUUAAGGACUGGAUAUAUCAAGGGUGGACCUCGUGGAGAAUCUGUCUUUUAUGGUUGAAGAAAGACUGUUUCCGGAGCUUCGAUUUUUCAUCUGGCUUCAGGCGUGGUGACUACCCCAAUGCAGGAAAACAUCCUCUCAUGUGCUCUCAUUAAGCCUUUUUUCUGCUUGCGAAAUGCUCAAAUGCUUUCAGGACACAAAUGCAACGAGCGAGAUGAAGAGAGAUGUAUUUCCGUAAUAUGAUUUCUUCCAAGGCAGGACAGAGGACUAAUUUAUUGAGUUAAAUAUUUUGAAGCUUUGUAAAUAAAUAAAUAAAAAUCAACAUUUCAAAUUUAACCGAUAAUCCUCUAUGUAUAUUUCAUGUUUUUGCAUAUUUUAAUAAAUAUUAGAUCACUAUUGCAAUGUGUAUUGAUAUUAACUAAAGAAUAUUUUUUGUGCGAGCAGAGGUAAAUUUGGUGGUCGUCUUGAUUUCAUUCAACACCUUAAAAAUUACUGCCGUUGAGGUGCGACGGUUUCUCUCAACGCUAUUACUAGCAAUGUCUACAAAAAAAUGGCAGCAAAAGUGAAUGGUUUUGAUCUGUCCUGAAUGCACGUCAAACCCAAAAGACCAGGUAAGGACUUCUAAAUAUUGGUAGUUCUCAAAAUAGACCGAGAGUCUGUAAACGUUUCUAAGUAGAAAUCAGAACAUAAUGCAGUUUCUCUUUGGAGGAACGGUUCAAGAAGAAAAUCCCAUGGUUCCGAACACUUUGACUGAUCAAACAAGGGAAAGAAUCUCUAAUCCUUGAACCAA